rnacentral:rRNA from 1 species
UUCCUACGGGAGGCAGCAGUGAGGAAUAUUGGUCAAUGGGCGGGAGCCUGAACCAGCCAAGUCGCGUGAGGGACGACGGUCCUAUGGAUUGUAAACCUCUUUUGUCGGGGAACAAAGGCGCCCACGGGUGGGCGGAUGAGUGUACCCGAAGAAAAAGCAUCGGCUAACUCCGUGCCAGCAGCCGCGGUAAUACGGAGGAUGCGAGCGUUAUCCGGAUUUAUUGGGUGUAAAGGGAGCGUAGACGGUUACGCAAGUCUGGAGUGAAAGGCGGGGGCCCAACCCCCGGACUGCUUUGGAAACUGUAU